UCCGCAGGCGGGCAAUUAAGUCAGAGGUGAAAUCCCACAGCUCAACUGUGGAACUGCCUUUAAUACUGGUUGUCUUGAGUUAUAGUGAAGUAGAUAGAAUAUGUAGUGUAGCGGUGAAAUGCAUAGAUAUUACAUAGAAUACCGAUUGCGAAGGCAGUCUACUAACUGUUAACUGACGCUAAGGGACGAAAGCGUGGGGAGCGAACAGGAUUAGAUACCCUGGUAGUCC
rnacentral:rRNA from 1 species